UUGUGAAUCUCUGCUGCUGCCACUGCCUAACUACUGGCUGUGACUGCUAAGCAUCUACCGCGAGCGCUGCCUUACUCUGUGCCAAGCCCCAAGCCCCGACCAGGCACUGCAGGCCAAGGUGCUCCGGAGAAGACAAGGGUGAGGCUAAGCUUAGCACAUGCCAGGCAUCCUCUCCUAUGGAAAUUCUUGGAGAUGGAGGGAAAAGUACUAGCACAGCCACAGUAAGGCUUCCUCUGAAGGACAGAGCUGGAGGACAGCUACCACCGGGAAGGAGAAUCAAGUUCUGGUACUGCUGCCCCUCCCACCCGCCUUGCUCCGCAAACACCAACCUCUUCACUCAACAGCUGUGAAAUUAGACCAUGUCAUCAGGCUAAAUAGGAAAUUGAAUAAUUUAUGCAAAAUGAAAUUCUCACGAAAGGAGGCCUGUUCUUCUAAUGAUUAAGCUUAGCAUCACCAGUGGGCAGCCAGUGAUUGCUCGAGGGAUGGACAGUCCAACGUCGGGAGACUUCAGUCACAAAUCGGACACUUACUGAAUGUGCUUCCUGCCGGUUAUUUAAUGGCUCCAUUUUUCAACUCGCUCGCUUGUAAAAUAACCGUGUUGAACUAGAAUCUGAAUUUUAGACUUGGAGUUGCCCUAAAAUGAAGGGGAGAGGAAGUACCUAUUAUGGACAAGAACGUAAUAGACAGGUGUUAAUCACCUUUAUUCCACAUAGGAAGAAACAUACCUAAAAGGGUAAGAACAUUGACAAGGUGGUGACUGAGCUAGGAUUCAGGCCUCUGCCGUCUGACUCCUUCUCUUUAGGAUUUUGUAGGUUGGGGAAGUGAGGUGAAACAUACCUAAAAGGGUAAGAACAUUGACAAGGUGGUGACUGAGCUAGGAUUCAGGCCUCUGCCGUCUGACUCCUUCUCUUUAGGAUUUUGUAGGUUGGGGAAGUGAGGUGUCAGUGGGCUGAAUGAUUUGUGCAGGGUACGCAGCACGUUGGCAGGUUGGCAAGUUAGCAAGUUAUCAAGGUAGAGUUGAGGCCAGAACCCAGAUUUAUUGAUGCCAAUCAUGUUUUUACUUUUUCUCCCUUUUAACUGUGGGUGCAGAUUCAAAUUAUGUGUAGUCCUCAAUUUAUUGUUGACUAACAUCCAUUAAACCAUUAUUGCUACCAUCUUGGUUUAUUAUAUUUUUCCGUUUCAUUUUCUACCCUCUCUGUAAUUUGCCUUGGGGUGGGAUGGAAGGGGGAUAUUUUUGGAUCUGUUAUGGCAGGUCACUAAUUUGUUCUUUGGCUAUGUACCUUCGACUGUGUAGCCUAGCUCUCAAGUUUGGUAUUUUAACCAUCUUAAAAAUAUAAUCAAGUGUUCCCA
rnacentral:lncRNA from 1 species